rnacentral:rRNA from 1 species
ACAUACGGCAGACAAGAGAUAACUUGGUGAACUGAAACAUCUUAGUAGCCAAAGGAAAAGAAAGCAAAAGCGAUUCCCUUAGUAGUGGCGAGCGAAAGGGGAGCAGCCUAAACCGCUCGACAAGCGGGGUUGUGGGGGAACGUUUAAGAUGGUAGAGUUGGAGGCGAAACAUUCUAAUUUGGCAUAAUGUACCCUAGAUGGUGAUAGUCCAGUAACUACAAAUCUUUACAACCUGUGUUCUAACCCGAGUAGCAUGGGGCACGUGAAACCCCGUGUGAAUCAACGAGGACCACCUCGUAAGGCUAAAUACUUCUGGGUGACCGAUAGUGAAGUAGUACCGUGAGGGAAGGGUGAAAAGAACCCAUUAAGGGGGAGUGAAAUAGAACUUGAAACCGUAAGCUUACAAGCAGUGGGAGGAGAAUUGAAUCUCUGACCGCGUGCCUGUUGAAGAAUGAGCCGGCGACUUAUAGGCAGUGGCCAGAGGUUAAGGGUUUACUGGAGCCGUAGCGAAANNNNNUCAUUUUAGGGCGUAUGUCACUGUUUAUGGACCCGAACUUGAGUGAUCUAACCAUGGCCAGGGUGAAGCUUGUGUGAAGACAAGUGAAGGUCCGAACCGAAUGAUGUUGAAAAAUCAUCGGAUGAGUUGUGGUUAGAGGUGAAAUGCCACUCGAACUCAGAGCUAGCUGGUUCUCCCCGAAAUGCGUUGAGGCGCAGCGGUUGACUGGAUUGUCUAGGGGUAAAGCACUGUUUUGGUGCGGGCUGCGAAAGCGGUACUAAAUCGAGGCAAACUCUGAAUACUAGACAGAGUCACAAAUUCUGUUGGGUCAGCCAGUGAGACGGUGGGGGAUAAGCUCCAUAGUCAAAAGGGAAACAGCCCAGAUCAUCAAUUAAGGCCCCUAAAUGAUCGCUCAGUGAUAAAGGAUGUGGGAGUGCAACAACACCUAGGAGGUUUGCCUAGAAGCAGCCACCCUUGAAAGAGUGCGUAAUAGCUCACUAAUUGAGCGCUCUGGCGCCGAAGAUGAACGGGGCUAAGCGAUCUGCCGAAGUUGUGGGAUGUCAAAGAGACAUCGGUAGGGGAGCGUUCUGCGCUAGGUUGAAGCAUCAGUGUAAGCAGGUGUGGACAAGGCAGAAGUGAGAAUGUCGGCUUGAGUAACGCAAACAUUGGUGAGAAUCCAAUGCCCCGAAAAUCCAAGGAUUCCUNCGCAAGGCUCGUCCACGGGGGGUUAGUCAGGGCCUAAGAUCAAGCCGAAGGCGCAAUCGAUGGACAACAGGUUUAUAUUCCUGUACUACUUGUUAUUGCAAAAAGAGGGACGGAGGAAACUAUAAUGUUACACUCCCAAGAAAAGCUCUUUCCUUCUGUUCUCAGAACACUCAACGAGUACCUGUACCCGAAACCGACACAGGUGGAUAGGUAGAGAAUACCUAGGGGCGCGAGAUAACUCUCUCUAAGGAACUCGGCAAAAUGGCCCCGUAACUUCGGGAGAAGGGGUGCCUUUUUUCUUUCUAAAAAAGGUCGCAGUGACCAGGCCCAGGCGACUGUUUACCAAAAACACAGGUCUCCGCAAAGUUGUAAAACGACGUAUGGGGGCUGACGCCUGCCCAGUGCCGGAAGGUUAAGGAAGUCGGUCACUUGAAAACAGGGAAGCUGGCAACCGAAGCCCCGGUGAACGGCGGCCGUAACUAUGACGGUCCUAAGGUAGCGAAAUUCCUUGUCGGGUAGUUCCGACCCGCACGAAAGGCGUAACGAUCUGGGCACUGUCUCAGAGAGAGACUCGGUGAAAUAGACUUGUCUGUGAAGAUGCGGACUACCUACACCUGGACAGAAAGACCCUAUGAAGCUUUACUGUUCCCUGGGAUUGGCUUUGGGCCCCUCUUGCGCAGCUUAGGUGGAAGGUAAGGACGGUGUCCUUCUGGGGACACUCGAACCAACAAUGAGACACCACCCUAGAGGAGCUAGGAUUCUAACCUUGAACCCAGAAGAAGGACAGGGGACAGUCCCAGGUAGACAGUUUCUAUGGGGCGUAGGCCUCCUAAAAGGUAACGGAGGCGUGCAAAGGUUCCCUCAGGCUGGACGGAAAUCAGCCUUCGAGUGUAAAGGCAAAAGGGAGCUUGACUGCAAGACUCACACGUCGAGCAGGGACGAAAGUCGGCCUUAGUGAUCCGACGGUGCCGAGUGGAAGGGCCGUCGCUCAACGGAUAAAAGUUACUCUAGGGAUAACAGGCUGAUCUUCCCCAAGA